GGGGGUUUAAACCUCUCCUCAGGGACUCCUCACAGCAGGGGGUUUAAACCUCUCCUCAGGGACUCCCUACAGCAGGGGGGUUUAAACCUCUCCUCAGGGACUCCCUACAGCAGGGGGUUUAAACCUCUCCUCAGGGACUAACUACAGCAGGGGGUUUAAACCUCUCCUCAGGGACUAACUACAGCAGGGGGUUUAAACCUCUCCUCAGGGACUCCCUACAGCAGGGGGUUUAAACCUCUCCUCAGGGACUAACUACAGCAGGGGGUUUAAACCUCUCCUCAGGGACUAACUACAGCAGGGGGUUUAAACCUCUCCUCAGGGACUAACUACAGCAGGGGGUUUAAACCUCUCCUCAGGGACUAACUACAGCAGGG
ensembl:lncRNA